UGCCAGCCAGACAUCGGCACCCCCUGCCACCUUGGCUGCAGGAGCAAAGGCAGGUCAGUCACUGCCCAGCAUCUGCAAUUCUACACAAAAUGGUCCCUUUAUGCCCUGGGGAUCCUAAGCAGCAGGUCAAAUAGGCUUCACACCAAAGCUCCGAACCCAUGCUCUCUCCUGGACCAGACCCCAGGACGAAGCAUCUAGAAGUUUCCAGAAGGUUCCUCAGCCCCUCCCCACUCCUGGCCUCUCCCCACUGGGCAGCGGGAGUUCAGGCUACAUUCCCAGAAUGCUUCCUCAGGCCUGGAGCCACAUCUCUGAAACCCCGGUGCCGGGAGAUCCCUCCAUUCCUGUUUUUCUAGAGGAAUCUGGUCACCUCAGUCCACACUGAAAAUAGUUAACUGUGGAAAAUCCACAUGUCCCAGUGUUUGUAUUUGUUUUUGUUUGGAGCCUGACAUUAGGAAGGCUAUACAUCCUAAACCUUUCCCUGGGUGGGCAGUGAGGGGCCAAGGGGUUAAAAAACCAGGUCUCCCCAACUGUGAAAUGGGACUAAUCCCUGUCGCUGGCUCAUGGGGUUAAUGAGUUAAGAAGUGUCAAGUUCUUAGAAUAGCGUCUGACACAUCAAGCGCCCUCACUAAACCCCGGUGAUGUUAUUACCCCCUGCAGGAGUGUGACCCAUGGCGGAGCCUAAACCAGGCUUCAUCAGAAAAUAGAAAGCUCUGAGUGAUUCAGGCCUGCCCAUCACGCCUGCCCAGGCCUGUGUCACACUGAACUGCAGUGUAAAGGGGUCCGAUGGGGACGUCUCACGAGUGACAAAAGUUUCUCUCUUUUGCAUUUUCGUUGAGACACAGCUUCCCCAGGGGUACAGGGAGCAGCAUGGAUUAAGAGCAUCUUGGCCAAUGAAUGAAAUCCUGGUUUUGGAAAAUUCAAAGGUUCAGAGGCCAGAUCGUAAGGCAGUCGGGUGGGCAGAAAAUUGUCCUCAUGCUGGCAUUUUCUUCUCAUCCGCAGACUUUCCUACAUGUCCUCAGGCAUCUGUCACUUCCAGAGACCAUCAGUCAGGCUUUGCCAGCAGAGACGCAGUCCUGGACACAGAAGGUAGCGGGGAGGUCAUUGUGAGGCCAAUUGUCCAAAUAUGGCUGCUCAUUCCUCUGAGUCAGCAAAAUAUAUUAACAACAACAACGAAAAAGAUCUGUGGGAGAGAAAAAUUUCCUGCCACAUAUUCUGGACAAAGAGAACCGCUCUCAUGGAGAACAUCGCCAUCUGAUGCAAAAUAAAGACAAUAUUAAAAGAAUGGGCAAGAGUCCCUAUUGUGGCUCAGCAGGUUAAGCACCGCUUAGUGUCCAUGAGGACUCAGGUUUGAUCCCUGGCCUCGCUCAGUGGAUUAAGGAUCUGGUGUUGCCAUGAGCUGCGGCAUAGGUCACAGAUGUGGCUCGGAUCGGGCGUUGCUGUGGCUGUGGUGUAGGCCGGCAGCUGUAGCGCUGAAUGGACUCCUGGCCCAGGAACUCCCAGGCGCAGCCCUAGAANCUGUAGCGCUGAAUGGACUCCUGGCCCAGGAACUCCCAGGUGCAGCCCUAGAAAGAAAAAAAAAGAAAAAAGAAAGGAAGAAAAUAAAAGAAUGGGCAAAUGUGGUUUUACCUGGCUG
rnacentral:lncRNA from 1 species